GCAGUCGUACGAGAGUUUAAAACUCAAGUGGCGGACGGGUGAGUAACACGUAAGAAUUUACCUUUAGGAGGGGGACAACAGCUAGAAAUGACUGCUAAUACCCCAUAUGUUUUCGAAUGAAAUGGAUUUUUCCGCCUAGAGAGAAGCUUGCGGCUGAUUAGCUUGUUGGUAAGGUAAUGGCUUACCAAGGCGACGAUCAGUAUCUGGUUUGAGAGGACGAUCAGACACACUGGAACUGAGACACGGUCCAGACUCCUACGGGAGGCAGCAGUGGGGAAUUUUCCGCAAUGGGCGAAAGCCUGACGGAGCAAUACCGCGUGAGGGAUGACGGCCUAUGGGUUGUAAACCUCUUUUUUCAGGGAGGAAUCAAUGACGUGUACCUGAAGAAUAAGCAUCGGCUAACUCCGUGCCAGCAGCCGCGGUAAGACGGAGGAUGCAAGUGUUAUCCGGAAUCACUGGGCGUAAAGCGUCUGUAGGUGGUUUAAUAAGUCAACUGUUAAAUCUUGAGGCUCAACCUCAAAAUCGCAGUCGAAACUAUUAGACUAGAGUAUAGUAGGGGUAAAGGGAAUUUCCAGUGGAGCGGUGAAAUGCGUAGAUAUUGGAAGGAACACCGAUGGCGAAGGCACUUUACUGGGCUAUUACUAACACUCAGAGACGAAAGCUAGGGUAGCAAAUGGGAUUAGAUACCCUGGUAGUCCCCU
rnacentral:rRNA from 1 species